rnacentral:rRNA from 1 species
AGUGGCGGACGGUGAGUAACGCGUGGGCAACCUGCCCUGUACCGGGGGACAACAGCCAGAAAUGGCUGCUAAUACCGCAUAAGCCUGCUGUGCCGCAUGGCACAGCAGGGAAAACCACGGUGGUACAGGAUGGGCCCGCGUCUGAUUAGUUAGUUGGCAGGGUAACGGCCUACCAAGACAACGAUCAGUAGCCGGCUUGAGAGAGUGGACGGCCACAUUGGGACUGAGACACGGCCCAGACUCCUGCGGGAGGCAGCAGUGGGGAAUAUUGCACAAUGGGGGGAACCCUGAUGCAGCAAUGCCGCGUGGGUGAAGAAGCACUCCGGUGCGUAAAGCCCUGUCAGCAGGGAAGAAAAUGACAGUACCUGGACAAGAAGCCCCGGCUAACUACGUGCCAGCAGCCGCGGUAAUACGUAGGGGGCAAGCGUUAUCCGGAUUUACUGGGUGUAAAGGGAGCGCAGGCGGCGUGGCAAGUCAGAUGUGAAAACCCGGGGCCCAACCCCGGGAGUGCAUUGGAAACUGGGAGACUUGAGUGCAGAAGAGGAGAGUGGAACUCCAUGUGUAGCGGUGAAAUGCGUAGAUAUAUGGAAGAACACCAGUGGCGAAAGCGCUCUCUGGUCUGUAACUGACGCUGAGUUCGAAGCGUGGUAGCAAACAGGAUUAGAUACC